UUGAAAACCUACACCACCUUUGCAACCUGAUCUCCUCAGAUCUCAGAAGCUAAGCAAGGCUGGGCUGGCCAGCACUGGGAGGGGAGACCUCUAAGGAAAACCAGGUUGCUGCUGUAA
rnacentral:rRNA from 1 species